rnacentral:rRNA from 1 species
GACGAACGCUGGCGGCGUGCUUAACACAUGCAAGUCGAACGGAAAGGCCCUGCUUUUGUGGGGUGCUCGAGUGGCGAACGGGUGAGUAACACGUGAGUAACCUGCCCUUGACUUUGGGAUAACUUCAGGAAACUGGGGCUAAUACCGGAUAGGAGCUCCUGCUGCAUGGUGGGGGUUGGAAAGUUUCGGCGGUUGGGGAUGGACUCGCGGCUUAUCAGCUUGUUGGUGGGGUAGUGGCUUACCAAGGCUUUGACGGGUAGCCGGCCUGAGAGGGUGACCGGCCACAUUGGGACUGAGAUACGGCCCAGACUCCUACGGGAGGCAGCAGUGGGGAAUAUUGCACAAUGGGCGGAAGCCUGAUGCAGCAACGCCGCGUGCGGGAUGACGGCCUUCGGGUUGAAAACCGCUUUCGCCUGUGACGAAGCGCGAGUGACGGUAAUGGGUAAAGAAGCACCGGCUAACUACGUG